AAUGAAGAGGUUGCAUUCUUUAUCAGUAUUGACUAUUAGGAAAAUAAGUUCCGGAGUAGUUUUGAAAGGAAAGAAUGCCGAAAUGCUGCUUAGCUUAUUCUGAGCUGCAUUGGGUCAUGAUUGAAAAAGUCAUGGACUGUCGCGAUAAAUCGCGGGGCGCUUCG
rnacentral:ncRNA from 1 species